UACAGAGGCCUCGAGCGUUUAGGCGGAAUCACUGGGCUUAAAGCGUGUGUAGGCGGACUUCUAAGUACCUUGUGAAAUCCCACGGCUUACCCGUGGAACGGCUGGGUAUACUGGUUGUCUUGAGCCACUUAGGGGCUACCGGAACAAAUGGUGGAGCGGUGAAAUGCGUAGAUAUCAUUUGGAACGCCAAUGGUGAAAACAGGUAGCUGGGAGUGUGCUGACGCUGGAGACACGAAAGCCAGGGGAGCGAACGGG
rnacentral:rRNA from 1 species